GACGAACGCUGGCGGCGUGCCUAAUACAUGCAAGUAGAACGCUGAAGAGAGGAGCUUGCUCUUCUUGGAUGAGUUGCGAACGGGUGAGUAACGCGUAGGUAACCUGCCUUGUAGCGGGGGAUAACUAUUGGAAACGAUAGCUAAUACCGCAUAACAAUGGAUGACACAUGUCAUUUAUUUGAAAGGGGCAAUUGCUCCACUACAAGAUGGACCUGCGUUGUAUUAGCUAGUAGGAGAGGUAAUGGCUCACCUAGGCGACGAUACAUAGCCGACCUGAGAGGGUGAUCGGCCACACUGGGACUGAGACACGGCCCAGACUCCUACGGGAGGCAGCAGUAGGGAAUCUUCGGCAAUGGGGGCAACCCUGGCCGAGCAACGCCGCGUGAGUGAAGAAGGUUUUCGGAUCGUAAAGCUCUGUUGUAAGUCAAGAACGGGUGUGAGAGUGGAAAGUUCACACUGUGACGGUAGCUUACCAGAAAGGGACGGCUAACUACGUG
rnacentral:rRNA from 1 species